ensembl:lncRNA
AACUAUGGCUUUGAGGAGCACUGUAGGCACUUGAAGCAUCGGUGUUGGAGCCAUUGGAUGUUAUGGUGCUUCCAGAGGCCUGCUGGUUCACAGUUAAGGCAGGGACAGAGCUCAGCCAUUGGACACCAUGCUGUUUAUGCAAACCAUCAUAAAGAUUGGAAAGGCUGUGGGAUGACCCAUAGGCAGUUGCACUUUGGCUUUGGGAACCAGUGUAGGAACUUGAUAGACUGGAGCUGGAGGAGCCAUUAGCUGUUGCGGCAGCUUCAGUUGUCUGCCGAUUUGUGCCUUGCUGUGUUUGGAAACUACCAUAGGGCCUGGAAAAUCCUUGAGACAGUCCAUAGACAGUUGGACCUUGGCUUUGCGAACCACUGUAAGAGGUUGAAGUGCUAGAUGUAGAACCACUGGAGACAGCACUCCCAGAGGCCUGCUGGGUCACGAAGGCAGGGGCAGAGCUUGAUUGACCACCACCAUACUGGCUUGCAAGCACUUGAGACGGUCCAUAGCCAGUGGAGCUUUGAGAACCAAUGUAGGGGCUUGAUAAACUGGAGGUGGAGGAACCAUUAGCUGUUGUGGCAGCUUCAGUUGUCUGCUGAUUUGUGCCUUGCAGCAUCUGGAAACUACCAUAGGGUCUGGAAAGUCCUAGUGACGGCCAAUUGGAAGACGGGCUUCGAGAACCAGUGAAGGAGCUUGAUGAGCUGAAGGAGCCAUUAGCUGUUGUGACAGCUACAGUUGCCUGCCGAGUUCCAGUUAACGUGGGGGCAGAGC